GAGAGUAGGCGCAGGCAGUUGCGGACUGUAGUCAAAAGCCAUGUGCUCAAGGCUGCAAUCCGAGGAAAGUCCGGGCUUCCCAAAGACCAGACUUGCUGGGUAACGCCCAGUGCGGGUGACCGUGAGGAUAGUGCCACAGAAAAAUACCGCCAAUGAAAAGGCUAAAGGCUGAGGGCUAAAGGCUAAAACAAGCUUUUAUCUUUCAUACUUUAUCCUUUAGCCUUUCAAGGUAAGGGUGCAAAGGUGCGGUAAGAGCGCACCAGCAGCAUCGAGAGGUGCUGGCUCGGUAAACCCCGGUUGGAAGCAAGGCUGCGGAACAACGGUUGGUCUUUUACCCGUUCCACGUAGAAAAAGGAGAAAUCCUGUUUCUGCCCGUCCGCUUGAGGUGCUUGGUAACAAGUGUCCCAGAUAGAUAACUGCCGUCUUGAAUGCACAGCGUUUAGGGCAACAGAACCCGGCUUAUGUCCUGCUCUCCCCU
rnacentral:RNase_P_RNA from 1 species